rnacentral:tRNA from 1 species
UCCCUAGUAAGUUUCAAGGGUAGAACUAUAGAGUAUGGUGGAGUCCAAUAUCUAUGGUUGCAGGUUCGAGUCCUGUCUAGGGAG